rnacentral:lncRNA from 1 species
GCACACCCUCAUGCCGCGCGGCGAACGUUCGUUGCCAGGUGCGGCAGCCCGCCCUGGGCGCCUCCUGCCUGCGGAAGAAGAGCAGGACAGACCCGACCCGACCCGCCUAGUCCUUUCCUUCACAGCAGCCUCCAAACUCCACCGCUCGCCUCUUCCGCCAGGCUCCUAGGAUGAGGCCCAGGGCUCCUGGAGCAGCCAGGUGCAAACCAGACCGGGCUCGCACUCCACUGCGUUGCCCUGGGCGAUCGUCCACGUUCUGGGAGACUCGGUAUGCCCCGGGAGGGUGGCCUGAGCUUGUGGUGUGAAGCCAGGUACAGAGCUCCAGAAUCCUGGCCUUGCCAUGGCUGUGUGACCCUGGGCAAGUGACUCAAUUUCUCUGCCUCAGUGUCCUCAUCUAUAAAAUGGAAAGGAAAAUAGUAGCGCUUGUCUCCUCCGGCUGUUAUGAAGAUCCAAGGUUAACAGCGUAGAGAACUCGGAACGCACCCGGCAUCUAGGAAGUGCCAAGCCAGUGUCAGCUAAUGUGACUAUUUUUAAAUGGAGAUGGGGAGUGUGCCAUUAUUCUUGUCCUUAUUUGAAUGAACGGGCCCUCAGGGACCAUUUUCCACUGCCCCGCCCUGGCAGCAUGAGAGGGAAACGCUGUGAGAACCCCGAACCCCAGCCUUCUCCUGUCCCUCUCUCUCUCUCUCUCUCUCUGCACCUGGGAGGCGGGGAGGAGAGAGCCGAUCCUUCCACCAUUUACACGGAGAAUGAAAGAAGAAAUACCGGCCAGGCGCGGUGGCUCAUGCCUGUAAUCCCAGCACUUUGGGAGGCCGAGGGGGCAGAUCACCUGAGGUCAGGAGUUCGAGACCAGCCUGGCCAACAUGGCGAAACUCCGUCUCUACUAAAAGUACAAAAAUUAGCCUGGCGUGGUGCCGGGUGCCUAUAAUCCCAGCUACUCAGGAGGCUGAGGCAGGAGAAUCCCUUGAACCCGGGAGGCGGAGGUUGCAGUGAGCCGAGAUCACGCCACUGCACUCCAGCCUGGGUGACAAGAAUGAGUCUCAAAAAAACAAAAAAGAAGAAGAAGAAGAAAUACCACACAGGUCCGACCAAGAGCUGCCCCCACUCAGGCCAGGAUCCCUGCCUGGAAGGGCUCUGCAGCCACUCUCCCUGUACAGCCCCAGGAUGCUAAGGAGCAUCCCGAAGUGACACUGGCUCUCCCUGGAGGCCCCUGCCAUCGGACUCCAACCUGACCUUCCAGUGGGUGCUCCUCAUACUGGCUCCAGCCAAGACAGACGAGGACCACUGGGCACAUGCCCUUCCUUGCCUUCCUGUCACCCUUCCCACCCUUCUCUGCGGGCCCCGGGUGGCCCCUUCCUCCAGGAAGCACCUGGGGAUCAGCAGUGCCUCUAGGGUCCCAGUGGCCCACGUGACAUCUGCUUCUGGCCACCUGAGCACUCUCCUUUGAGUUCAGGGUCACUGUACCCUUUUAUAGGUGAGCAAACGAAAGCUGAGGAAGAGGAGUGACUGGGUCUCCCACAUCCCUCUGCUUCAGCUAUGAGGUUCCCUCAUGAACUGCAGGAAUAGACGUCAAGCAAAAACUCCUCAGACGCCCUGUGCAUGUGUGGUCGCACAGGGCACAAAGACUGAAGCAAAGGGGCAGGUCCUAGCGUGGGGAGGGGACUCCAGGAUUGAAGUUUGAACCAAAAGGAGGCUUUGACUAAGCCACGAGCAGUGAAGCCGGCAGGAGAGGAAGCAAGUUCUAGCAGAGAAAUUCGCCGGGUAUGGUGGUGCAUGCCUAUGGUCCCAGCUACUCAGGAGGCUGAGGCAGGAGGAUCACUUGAGCCCGGGAGGUGAAGGCUGCGGUAAGCUAUGACUACACCACUGCACUCCAGCCUAGGUGCGAGAGCAAGACCCUGUCUCCAAACAACAACAACAACAACAAAAUCUGAAUGCCUGGUUUAUCUUGAAAUAUGGCAAAAUGGGGCCACCCAGGCCCAUUAACCCCCUGUCUACAAUGUCCUGGAGCUGAGGGGCAUUAGCCACCCUCUCACAUGGGCUCCCCAGGGUGCCACAGCUCCCUCCUAGCUAGUUUGCUCUUUUCUGUCACCUACCGGCCCUUGCAGGGAGCUGAAUUUGAGACCCAUGAUGCACUUUGUGCACCCUGCCCCCUCAAAGAUAACUGUGAGUACCAAGGGAAAUGGAAAGCUUUGGCAACAAGAAGGGAGCUUCAAGGAAAGCCAGGCCGAGGUUCCCCUCAGAACCAUAGACUAGCCUGAAAUUCCACUGGGACUAAUUCUUCUCAUUUCAAGAAUGAAAAUCGAUUGCUGGACAGAGCUCCCGGAGGGCCAAUUUUCAGGCUGUAGUCUACAGCCGUCCACGUAGAGGCAGUGAACGAAAUUUUUCAAAGCCUACUUUAUGAUUACUUUCUUUAGCAGCUCUCAACAGUAAAAUAAAAUUGAUCUAGGACUUUGAACAAAACUUCUCGCCCCUUUCUAGGGAAGAGUUUGUCUCGUCUAUCAGGCCACCAACAAGAGUUGUUGCAAUGCCUGUGGGAGGUGCAGCCCACGCUGGGCCACCUGGCCAGCUCAGGGAUCCUGCUGGAGAUCGAGGAUUGUCUGGUCGGCCUCUUACAACUCUCAGAACAUCAUCCCUGGGAGCAGCCCUGAAGAGACCAAGGAAUGGAAAAACAGAUGGAAGGACUGCAACUCACAGGUGAAAAGGAACCGGCUACGAGAGGCUCCAAACCAAGGGAGCAGCGGAGUUUGUCUCCAAAACACCGAGCCCAGUGAGAGAAGCCAGAGCCACAGACCAGAUGCCCUGCAAGACCUUCCCAGACCACCAUGUCUCAGACAGCCCCGGCUGCCUCCUGCCUGCCCUGCACCAGCCCUGAGCCAUCGCCUCAUUUUAUUCUCAUUCUAACUUGGAUAAUGGGGAUCUGCCUCUUACCAACUGUGACCUUAGGCACAGGAUCAGCCCCAAAUUGAGCCUCAUUUUGUCCAUCUGUAAAAUGAGGAUGGCACUAGAGCCCCGUCUAGGGUGAAUGUGAAGGUCAGAGCCUGCACAAGCUCAUAGCCACCAUGCAUGACUUGGGACUUCUGAAUGGGACCAAGAAAUAUCUAACAUGCGAUUUCCUGGAAAGCACAUAGGAGUUUGGCCCAGAUCCAGACUUGGCAGUUGCUCAAUCAAGAAGAAGCUGCCAGGCACAGUGGCUUGUGCCUGUAACCCCAGAACUUUGAGAGGCUGAGCGGGGUGGAUCACCCAAAGUCAGGAGUUCAAGACCAGCCUGGCCAACAUGGUGAAAUGCCGUCUCUACUAAAAAUACAAAAAUUCGCUGGGUGUGGUGGUGGGUGCUUGUAAUCCUAGCUACUCAGGAGGCUGAGACAGGAGAAUCCCUUGAACCCAGAGGCAGAGGUUACAGUGAGCCGAGAUCGUGCCACUGCCCUCCAGCCUGGGCAACAAAGAGUGAAACUCUUGUCUAAAAAAAAAAAGAAGAAGAAGAAGGAGAAGGAGAAGGAGCGGGAGAAGGAGAAGAAGAAGAAGAAGAAGAAGCCUCAGUGAAGUGCUCCAGCAUCUUCACCCCCUUGGUCACUUGCUCAUCUCCUUGAUGAACAAAAGCGGCCCCAGAUCAGAGCCAUCGAGCACCUGCAGCCAGCAAGGUUGGCUGGUUUUCAUUGUGUGCAUUUUUAAGGCGUCUUCUAUUUAUAGAAAGGAUUGUGGUCUUGCAUUUGUAGCAGCGAUGAAAGCUUUACUUUUUGGCAAAAUGUGUGCAAGUUGUUUAGAAGUGAGUCUGUUUGAAAAAAAAAAUUAAAUGAAUAAUGAUUUAGGAGGUGAGUUUGUUUCCUAGGGCUGCUGUGAUGAAGUGCCA